UUUUUACUCUCUCUCUCUCUCUCUCUCUCUCUCUCUCUCUCUCUCUCUCUCUGUGUCACUCCUCUCUCUUUUCGCGCGCGAGCCUGCAUCUUUUAGAUGUUGCCGCCCCCCAAAAAAAAACAGGAUCAGUACAAAUAUGGCGUUGUUUCGAUCAGCAUGGCUGCUCAUCUUUGUUGUGCAUGGCGUAUAUUUACAAUGUUCUCCCGCAACAAUUUGUUGCGAGGAAGACUUCGUUUCGUGUAUGGGGGCAUGUGAGUGUAUUUUCUUUACAGUGGGGAUGACCGGGGGUGUCGAUACACUCCACAUCCGAUUUGGCGAAGGGGUGCGCCGGGUUGAAUUCAGUUUCAAGAAAAUAACUCUGACGGACAUCGGCGAUGUCCACCCUGCUAGAGUCGAUUUGUCCGAGCCAGCUCAAAGUACCACACCUGACCAGGGAGAUGAGACUACACCCCCGUCCUCCAGUCCCCGUCGCACUACGCAUGAGCAGGGAGAUAAGACUACACCCCCGUCCUCCAGUCCCCGUCGCACUACGCAUGAUCACGCUGAGACUUCCCGGGUGUCCUGGACAUCAUCAUCAACCUCCGUAGUAGACGGUACCUCCGUUCAUGAGUCAAGCACAGGAGAGAUCACGUUGACUCCUACGGCAGUUUUGAUUAUUUCUAAUAACAUCCGAGACUCCCACAGAUUACAUCGGCGAAGAAACAAUUUAUAUAGACUCCGGGUCUAAUGCUACACCUUCUAUAGGAUCACCAUCGUCUGAGUCUUUUUCAUCAUCAUCUUCAAGUCACCUGUCGACUUCAUUUUCGACAAUAACAAGAUCUCCUUCCAGUGUCUCAUCGCGAUCUACUUCGCCGGAAAUAACAUCUCCUCUUAAGAGUCCUUAUUUUUCGCAAACGGACGAUGAUGAAUUUAGUACUAUAGAUCUCGGACCUACCAACAUCACGAUUUAUCAUAUGCAAAACGAGAAAAAGCGACUGACCACAGAGCUUGCAUCAAAACAAGGUGCCAAAGAAACCUUAGGAAAACAAAUAGGGGACCUUAACAAACAAAUGGAUGCUCUGAAUAGGGAGAUAGAACUUUUGGCGAACAAUUUAGAAGUCUUGGAAGGAGACAUCUAUGUAAAAUGUUUAGAACUAAAUGUUCAAACUUGUUAAAAAACAAAAUAAAAUGUGACUUACUUUUCAAUCGUUUAUCCAAUGAAUCUUGCCUGCUUGAUCUGGUCUCUUUUUUUCUUCUCUUUUAUACAGUGAGGGAUAAUUUAUGUAACUAAUUACUGACAAAUACAUUCAUUUCCGUGACUUUUUUUCAACCUUUUUUGUAAAUUUAACGAGAUUCUUAGGUUAACGACAUAUUCCUAUAUCUAUCAUUUGAUAUGUAUUUGAAAUCGUGAGUUUUUUUCAUACGUUUUAUUACUUAUAAAUCUUCUAUGACAUUUCAUUUAAAUGUUUUUAAAAAGAUUGAUGUUAUAUCUAUUUCUGUAAAGUCAUUAUUUUUUUUUAUAAUACAUUCUUUGUAUAUAACCUCUUUUUCUGUAUGUAUUUCGUGAGUUCUUGCUUCAAAUUUAUCAAUUAUAAAUCUUUUUCGACAUUUCAUUUAAAUGUUUUGAACGAGAUUUAUGUUCUGUCUAUUUCCUGUAUAGUCAUUCUUUUUUUUCUGGGGGGAUUUUUUUUUUUUUUGGUGCAUUUCUUAUGUGUGACUUUUUUAUGCAUUUUUCCUUGUAAUUUGAUUUUCUGUACAAAGAUUACAAUUUACUGAAUAAAACUAUGAAACUCAACAUUUUACU